GAAACUCUGGUGGAGGCUCGUAGCGAUUCUGACGUGCAAAUCGAUCGUCAAAUUUGGGUAUAGGGGCGAAAUCGUAUCAGAUUUAUGUGGUAAAGCGAAUGAUUAGAGGCCUUGGGGUUGAAACAACCUUAACCUAUUCUCAAACUUUAAAUAUGUAAGUAACGAGCCGUCACUUGAUUGUUAGCUCGG
rnacentral:rRNA from 1 species